GACGAACGCUGGCGGCGUGGAUUAGGCAUGCAAGUCGAACGGUAGAUAUCCUUCGGGGUAUUGAGAGUGGCGAACGGGUGAGUAACACGUAGGUAAUCUACCCUCAAAUCGGGGACAACCCAGGGAAACUUGGGCUAAUACCGGAUGAGUGCAGCACCUAAAUCAUCCAUACGGAAUCUGGUUAAGAUUGGGUUUUGAUGGUUGGGUGAUUUAGGUGCUGUAUAAAAGAUGGCUUCGGCUGUCGUUUGAGGAUGAGCCUGCGCUCUAUUAGUUAGUUGGUGAGGUAAUGGCUCACCAAGGCGAUGAUAGAUAGGCGGCCUUAACGGGUGGUCGCCCACACUGGGAUUGAGAUACGGCCCAGACUCCUACGGGAGGCAGCAGUCGAGAAUAGUCUACAAUGGACGAAAGUCUGAUAGUGCGACGCCGCGUGAACGAUGAAUCCCUUCGGGGUGUAAAGUUCUUUUAUAUGUGAGCAAUGCCUUA
rnacentral:rRNA from 1 species